GUUUGUGUAUCCCGGUCCACUCUACCUUUCCAUCAGGCAGUACAUGUGGAAAUGGAAAAGUAGCUCUCUAAUUAAUCAAAGUCAGAUCUGCCUGAACGCCUGGAGUUGCUGCUGAUCCUUGUCCCAGCUUCUCCCAUGUUCUCUCUCUAUGUUUUUACCUUGAAAACUUCUGCUCAGAGCUGGGAAUGCCUGAAGGGCUUGCACGAAUAGGAAAACUGAUUACCUGGCUCCAUAUUCCAUGCGCAGUUUCAUGUCACCAAACUGAUCAGAAAAGAAUUGGGCCAACCUUGGGGAAACAG